rnacentral:rRNA from 1 species
UCAGGAUGAACGCUGGCGGCGUGCCGUAACACGAUGCAAGGUCGAACGGGGUGUCCGGAUCUUCGGACUGGACACUUAGUGGCGGACGGGUGAGUAACGCGUGGGUAACCUGCCUCAUACAGGGGAUAGCAGUUGGAAACGACUGAUAAUACCGCAUAAGCGCACAGCAUCGCAUGAUGCAGUGUGAAAAAACUCCGGUGGUAUGAGAUGGACCCGCGUCUGAUUAGCUUGUUGCGGGGUAACGGCCCACCAAGGCGACGAUCAGUAGCCGGCCUGAGAGGGUGAACGGCCACAUUGGGACUGAGACACGGCCCAAACUCCUACGGGAGGCAGCAGUGGGGAAUAUUGCACAAUGGGGGAAACCCUGAUGCAGCCGACGCCGCGUGAAGGAUGAAGUAUUUCGGUAUGUAAACUUCUAUCAGCAGGGAAGAUGAUGACGGUACCUGACUAAGAAGCCCCGGCUAACUACGUGCCAGCAGCGGC